CAACCAGGAGCAUGAAGACUAAUAUAACUAUUAUCCAAUGAAGAAGAUCUUGACUGUUACUUCUGUGGAAUGAAGACCAUGGUUGAUUUAAUCCGUCUUUGCUGAUGAAGAUCUUGGCUGCUACCUUUGUGGGUAAGGAACCUAAUGACUAAGGAUGGAUGCAUGAUGAAUCAAUUAUGGAGUGUAGAAACUUAUAAUGGAUGCUCCCGGCCAAUUUAAGCAUCUCCAUGAUCAUGAGCUCUCUGGUUCCCUAGGAGCAUAGAGACCAAUAAUGGACACACUUGAGAUGAUUCUCUGUGGUUGGCUCCAUUGUUAGGAACAGAGACAUGAAUAGUGGUCACACAAGCUGAUUAAAGCACCUUUCAUUAUUAUGAGCUCUAUAGGAUAUGGAGACCAGCAAUGGAUCCAUUGGACCUGAUUCUUCCAUGGUCACAAGAUGUCUGCUUGUCUCUAUGUGUUUGGUACAUAGAAAGAAGGAAUGCACACACUCAAGGUGGUUUAAGUAGUAUGCCUCGACCAAUGAUCUCUGCAUUUGCCUGUAGGAACAUGGAUACCAACAAUGGGUGCACAACUCCAGUGGGCUGAAGCAUCUCCUGCGGUCACAAGCUCUAUGUUGCAGAGACGAAUAAUGGAUACACUUGAACUUACUUAGGCAUUUGGCUGUGAUCAGGUGCUCAUGGAUGCCCCUGUGUGUGAGAGCAUGAAAGCCAAUGGUGGCUGCGAAGGAAUGAAGUAGUGCUGCGAUGCAGAUGUCCCUUGAAAACAUUGUGCCAAGUGAAAGAAGGCAUAUGGAAAAGAAUGGAACCUCGAGCGGUCUGGCUGUGGUCAAGGUUGUCAUGCUGCUUCCGUGGUGGAAAGAGACCAUGGAUGGACAUCCCAAAGCUGGUUGAAGAAUUCUUGGUUACAAUCUCUAUGAUUGCAUCUCUGAUUACAGAGACCAGUAAAGAAAAUACUUGACCCGAUGUAAGCAUCUGCCAUGUUCAGGCGCUCCAGGCUAGCCUCUCUGUGUGGGAGCAUGAAGCCCGAUAAUCGACACACUCCAGCUGAUAUAAGCAUUUUCCAUAGUCAAAAGGUCUGUGAUGUCCUGUGUGUUCUGAGCAUAGAGAUGAAUAAUGCAUGCACUCCAGCUGCUAUAAGCACUUCCAUGGUUACGAGCUCUCUGGUUGCAUCUGUGAGUUAGGAGCAUAGAGACCAAUAAUAGACGCACGCUGAUUUAAGCAUUCUUCCAUGAUCGCAAGUUCUAUGGCUACAUCUUUGUGUUGGAGAAUGGAGACCAAUAAUGGCCGCACUGAGGCUGAUGUAAGCAUCUUCCAUGGUCAUGAGCUCCAUGUCUGCACUUAUGCAUUAGGAAUGUAUAGACCAACAAUGACACACACAAGCUUAUUAAAGCAUCUUCACAUGUAGGAGCGCCAUGGUUGCAUCUGUAUCUUAGGAGCAUGGAGAACAAUAAUGGAUGUAUUCCAGUUAAUUUAAGAUCUUCCAUGGUCAGGAGCUUUAUAGUUUUAGAAGCAUGGUGAGCAGUGUGAGUAAUAUUCAGUGUUUUUCUUGGCUAGACUAUUGUUUUAAAAAAAUUUUUCAUUGUAUUAUUAAAAUUCAUAUUAUAUAAUCAUAUUAAAAUGAAAUUUUACCAUUUGGGAGUGACAUGGAUGAAGCUAGAAAGUGUUAUGCUAAGUGAAAUAACUCAGUCAGAAAAAGACAAAUACCCAUAUGAUUUCACUCAAAUGUGGAUUUAAGAAACAAAAUAAACAAAGGGGAAAAAAGAGAGGGGUGCAAACCAAGAAAUAGACUCCUUUUUUUUUUUUCUGUUAAGAAAUAGACUCUUAACUCCAGAGAACAAACUGAUGGUUAUCAGAGCAGAGCUGGAGGGAGGAGGGGAUGGCUAAAGAGGUGAUGGGGAUGAAGGAGAACACUUGUGAUGAGCACAGGGUAUUGUAUGCAAGUGUUAAAUCACUAAAUUGUACACCUGAAAUUAACACUGUAUGUUAACUAACUGGAAUUGAAAUAAAGGCUUAGAAAUAUUAAAUAUAAUCAAAGAAGGUGAGAUAGGCUAACGUUAAAUAUCAGAUUAAUACGAAGCACUGUGUUGAUUAAUGCAUGUAUAAAACACUAAGCUAAGUUAAUGAAAGAAAUUUGGUCUCAGUGGAAAUGAUUGGGUAUAUGGAUGUUAGAAAUAUUAAAGGAUCUUAUUCUUGUUUUUUUCAUGUGAUUUAUGUAUAUUUCUUUAUUAAUGAAUUACAUGGUGAACAAAUGUAGGUGGUUGUGGAGAAAGAAAGCUAGUCCUGGACCACCAGUGAUGAUGGAUGGUAUAUGAAUCAUAUAUGAUGGAGACAUUUUCUGGAGCUCUGAGGUUCCAACACAAAUGGAAUCUGGUCUACUUUCCUUUAUGAAGGGAAUGUAUGGAUGGGUGUCAGGAAUAUAUAAGGAUUUUAUUCUUGGUCUUUGAGUUCAUGAAGCUUUAAAAUAUUAUUAUAAAAGUAUUAAUGCAAGAAUAAAUAAACAUGUAUAAAUGGCUAAAUAUGGAGAGAAUGAAGCUUUGUUUAUAAAAUAAAACAUAUACUAAAGAAAUGCACAUUAGUGUAAAGGAAUGGCUUAAAAAAAAAAGGACCAAGUAUGUCAUGUAUUUGGCUAAGGAUGAUUUAGAUAACGAUAGGGAAUAGUCAGUUAUUGCUCUCAGUCAAUAUUAAUUUGAAGUUUAUUUUAUUAACGGAAAAAUAAAUAUUACCAAAAAUUAAUAAAUGCCUAAAUGACUAUAUAUUAUAAGUGGUGGAAAAUAUAGAGAUAAUAACUAAAUCUUUCAUCAUAUUGUCUGCUUAUAUCAUAUAUUUAAUCAAGUCUUCAGAGUGAAUGCACAGAGCUGAUUUUAGCAUCCAUGGUGAUUUAGGUUGUUAUGUUACCUUUGUGUUAGAAAAGAAACCAAGGUGAAUAACUGUCAAAGGCCUUACCUUGGUCUGGGUUAUUUGUUUAAGAGAGUUCAUGGUAUUAUUUAAAAGUAGUAAGUGAAAUCAAAAAGUUAACUAUGGCCUGAUGAGAAAUAGGAUAUGAAAUAUUGUUGAUUCAUUGAUAAUGUGCAACAUUGAGGUCAACUAAUGGAAGAUGUGAUCUUUGUGUAACAUGAUUCUAAAGAUAGAAAUUUGGUUUAUUCAAGGUUUUUUUUUUUAAUUUUGUGAAUCAUGUAUUGAUUUUUAUUACCAAUGAAUUAACAAUGUAGUUAUUACAAAUGUGGAAACAAAUGAAGAGAAGGAGGCCCAAAUAUAGAACAGUGAUAAAAAAUGUUGGCAUAGGAGUUUUUCAUGUUUGGUUGCUACAUGUCUGGAGCUCUGAGUCAACACAAAACAAAAUCUAGCCUAUUUUCUGUUGUAAAUGAUCCCAUGGGUCAAUGUAGAAAUAUACAAAACUCAUAUUUUUAUUUUGAUUUGAUAUUUUUAGAUAUUAUUAUGAAUGGAUCAGCGAUUAAAACAUUAAGAAUGUAAAACACAGAUAAAUAAGGUGAAACAUUGUCCAGAUAGGAAUAUAUGUGGUGACAUAAGAAAUGAGCAAAAAUGGUCAUGAAGCAAUAAAUAGAAUAAAUUUUUGCCCUUUUGCUUAAGAAUUAUAUAGGCACUGAUAAUUAAAAGUCAUUAUUGUUAUUGAUCAGUCUCAAGUUUAAGCUUUCCUUUAGAUAAAAGAAAAAAUACUGCAUGCCUAAAUGAAUAAAUGAAAUGCAGUAAAAAAGGAUCAAUGGAUAUAGGAUCUAAAAUUUUCUAUUGUCUGCUCUACUCUGUACUCCUUAGAAUGGACCUGUCAAGCAGAUAAUAGGGAUUUUUCCAUGGUCCCAAGUUCUUGGGUUGCAUUCAUGUAUUAGGAGCAUGGAGACCAUGUGAGUAAUAGUCGAGCUUAUGGUCUUAGUUUCAUACUUUAUUUAAGGGUAUUCAGUGCACUAUUGAAAAUCAUGGAAUAUAAUCAGUGGAAUCUGAAUAUCCCACUGAGAAAUAUGGGAUUAAUAUGAAGCAUUAUAUUGAUUAAUGCAUGUAAUACAAAUUGGGAAUAAUUAAUGGAAAUGAUAUUGACAUGAGAUUUAUUCUAAAUAGAUAUUUGGGAUUUCUAGGCACUUUGUGGGUUCUGUGAAAAAUUUUUUUUUCCUUUUUUUAAAAUUUAUUUAUUUAUUAAUUAACUUAUUUAUUUAUGAUAGUCAGAGAGAGAAAGAGAGAGAGGCAGAGACACAGGCAGAGGGAGAAGCAGGCUCCAUGCACCGGGAACCCGAUGUGGGAUUUAAUCCCGGGUCUCCAGGAUCGCUCCCUGGGCCAAAAGGCAGGCGCUAAACCGCUGCGCCACCCAGGGAUCCCUGAACAAUCUUUUUAAAAGUAUAAUUACUAAAUUAUGAGUUGAUCAAUAAAUAACAUAGAGACAAAAGAUGAAAAAGAGGGACGGUAUUGGAUCGAUGAUGACCACUGGUGGCGUAUGAGUUGUGCACGAUGAAUACGUGUCUGGAACUCUGAGGUCCAA
rnacentral:lncRNA from 1 species